AUUGUGUUCCAGAUCAAAGAUGUUACCUCCCUAAAGUUAAGACAUUGACUUUUUCACGUCUAGUGCAUGGUGAAGGAUCUAUUUUCCCACGAGAAAUAUCAUAUAGCAUUAGAUAUCCACUAAACUAUGACCUCAUUCUAGUUCUCCAUUAAUUUAAAGUUCUAAACUUAUUUCUCCCCGAAUCAUAAGUUGUAAACUUAUUUCUCUCCGAACCGGUUAUUCAAAACUUAAUAACCCACGGACCAUGGUUUUUAUUGGUUUACUAUUAACCAACCAAUUUUAAACCAAUUAAAUCAAUCAAAACUCUAAUUUUUAUUUUAAAACUUUGUUUUAUCAAAAAAAAUUUAUAAGAAAAAAAAAGAUUCUCAGAAAAGAAUUGAUUCAUUAACACUCCUUCGUUCGA
rnacentral:lncRNA from 1 species